rnacentral:rRNA from 1 species
AUUGAACGCUGGCGGCAUGCCUUACACAUGCAAGUCGAACGGCAGCGGGGGAGAAGCUUGCUUUUCCUGCCGGCGAGUGGCGAACGGGUGAGUAAUACAUCGGAACGUGCCCUGUAGUGGGGGAUAACUAGUCGAAAGAUUAGCUAAUACCGCAUACGACCUGAGGGUGAAAGUGGGGGACCGCAAGGCCUCAUGCUAUAGGAGCGGCCGAUGUCUGAUUAGCUAGUUAGUGGGGUAAAGGCCUACCAAGGCGACGAUCAGUAGCUGGUCUGAGAGGACGAUCAGCCACACUGGGACUGAGACACGGCCCAGACUCCUACGGGAGGCAGCAGUGGGGAAUUUUGGACAAUGGGCGAAAGCCUGAUCCAGCAAUGCCGCGUGUGUGAAGAAGGCCUUCGGGUUGUAAAGCACUUUUGUCCGGAAAGAAAUGGCUCUGGUUAAUACCUGGGGUCGAUGACGGUACCGGAAGAAUAAGCACCGGCUAACUACGUGCCAGCCGCCGCUGUAA